AUCCCAGAAAAAUCUUCUCUAUGUUUAUCCGAUUCAUGGGAGGCAAACAUUGAUGACUGAAGUCAUGCUGAUAGCACCUUUUUUUUUUUUUUUUUUUUGUCUUUCCGGAGGUGUUUUGGUAGUAGUUUUCAAUACAUGA